rnacentral:rRNA from 1 species
AUUGAACGCUGGCGGCAUGCCUAACACAUGCAAGUCGAGCGAGCGGCGGACGGGUGCGUACUGUCUGGGAACCUGCCUGAUGGAGGGGGAUCACUACUGGAAACGGUAGCUAAUCCCGCAUACCAUCAGAUGUGCCCAGGUGUGAUUAGCUAGUAGGUGGGGUAACGGCUCACCUAGGCGACGAUCCCUCGCUGGUCUGAGAGGGUGACCAGCCACACUGGAACUGAGACACGGUCCAGACUCCUACGGGAGGCAGCAGUGGGGAAUAUUGCACAAUGGGCGCAAGCCUGACGCAGCCAUGCCGCGUGUGUGAAGAAGGCCUUCGGGUUGUAAAGCACUUUCAUCGGGGAGGCGUUACCCGCAGAAGAAGCACCGGCUAACUCCGUGCCAGCAGCCGCGGUAAUAC